ACAUCUCAGCUCCUUCAAUCAUGGGUUGCCCCAAUGCUUUCCUUUAUUUGGAAUGUUAUUUUGCCCGUUGCUUUAAUGCUGUUAUCCACAACCAUAAUCAAGAAUGGAGGAUACAAGGUUUUAUACAACUGGCAAAUCCCCGGUUAUGAUUAUUGGCCAGUGUGGGGCCGCCAAGCGGGUUGCUUCAUUCAGUUAGCUCCGCUUGUCCUAGUACCGAUCGCAGGAGUUAUUCAACUAUUCGCUAUUUGACCACUGGUCCCCCUGAUAUAUUUGAAGUAAGUGCCUUUGUUUAUAUUAAAAUUAAUAUAUCCAAGUGAUCUUCCUGAUCUAGGGGCAAAAAUCACUACUAUAUUGAGCCAUAAUUCAGAUGGUGUUUGUUCGAAGAGAUAUUCUUAAUUGACUUGGAAUUACAAGAAAAACUAAACCACUGUAUAUAGCAGCAUAAAUAUUGAGUAGUAUAAAAUCUAAUUUGAAAGACAUAUUGUAUAUUUCUGACAUAAAUUCAAGGAAACAGACACUGAUCUUUGACUUAGUGUCGGAGAAAUACUUAUAUCGCUCCCUAGCCUCAUUAAAUGUAAAUAUUGACGUUUAAACUCCUGGACUAUGUUUCUCAGUUUGCAAUGUUGUAGACUCCUUGUAAAUUCUAUCUAGAAUUCCUUUGCAAAAUAGAUCACAACACUUUUUUCGAGGCAAUUUUGUGUCUCGGAUGGUACUUAGUAAAUUCUAUUAAAAAUUAUGUUUUCAGCGGAUACAACUUCUCUAUCGACCGAGAAUCGAUCUGCAGCACAAUAUUCAUGAUAUGGCAGCCCAAGGGAAUUCAGAAAACAGUGGUGGACAUGGUGGUGGAAUACCUGUGGAGGAUCCGCCUCCGAAGUACACUCCACCCCCCUCUUACUCCACAGCUACCGGAGCAAGAAUUGCGAAGCUGUUGCGGCAAAGUCUGCGACGGAGUGUUCGAGGUAUCAGAAACAUACGCUCUGCACUCGGAACUCCCACUCAGACCAGGGACACUUAUGAUGUGGCCAAUCCUCCUGGAAGCCCUCGGGGACCUCCACCUCCCAAUUACGCAGCUGUUCUGGUGGAGAUUAAUCAGUCGCAAGGAAACGGCAAUUCAAACCGUACUCAGAUAACAAUCCCGCGCAAGGGAAAGCGAAGUUAA
rnacentral:lncRNA from 1 species